rnacentral:rRNA from 1 species
UACGUAGGGUGCGAGCGUUAAUCGGAAUUACUGGGCGUAAAGCGUGCGCAGGCGGUUCUCCAAGUCCGUUGUGAAAGCCCCGGGCUCAACCUGGGAAUGGCAGUGGAAACUAGGGGACUGGAAUCUGGCAGAGGGGGUGGAAUGCCGCGUGUAGCAGUGAAAUGCGUAGAUAUGCGGAGGAACACCGAUGGCGAAGGCAAUCCCCUGGGCCUGCACUGACGCUCAUGCACGAAAGCGUGGGGAGCAAACAGG